GUUUGAGAGAAUUUAGAAAAAAUACAAAAGUAAAGAGAAAAGUGUUGGAUCGAGAUUAUAAAUUAAAAGUUGGAAUCAGGAGCUCAAUAAGUUUAUCUAUCUCUUAUAAGGAAUAAGAUAUCAGUGAAAUUAUUCGUUGACGUGGGUCGUAGGAACUCCACAUGUUAUCAGGGUCGGCGGCUGACACGUUUUGGCAACCUUCUCCUCCUCAUCAUUUUUUUGCAUUUUAAUAAGUGUAUGGUAUAUAGAGUGGUGAGAGGGUCCCACUACGGUUUAGAAUGUUAUGAAAUAUGUAGUUGAUAAAUGUUGAUUUUUGAAAUGAUAUAAUAUGUGCGUUUUAUGUACU